GUAAAAAUGCAGGACUACAGUAAUAACGGAGAAAUUGAAGGCAAAAGUUGAAAAAUUUCCAAGUAGGUCAAAAUCUGUUCGCCUAUCGGUUGGAAAGUAGUUUAAAGUCGCUGGCCUUUAGUCUUUGCAGUUUACACUCAAUUGGCGGAGAAAAAAAUAUUGUGCAGAUAGUCUGUAGGCUAAAUACAGGCCAAAAUGUUUUCAGUUCAGGCCUAAAUCAGAUCCAGAAGCUCAUGAUCUUUGCUUGAGCGAGGGUUUGGCGAUUCUCGGUUAAGGAAUUUUGCUGCGACGGCGAAGUAGUCAUUUUUAUCUGAGGGUUUUGCUGUGUUGUUUUAACACUAUGUGUGCCGAAACGGUUAAAUUGAGCUACGUUCCUUUGAUAAACUGGUCCGAUUCGAGCCCAGACUUUGUAAGCCUUCUCCAUGCUGCGAACGAAGGACAGAAUGAUUAUUAUGCAUCUUACAGGUUCAGAGGAAGCCGUAAUUAUUUAGCCAGACAAGCUUUUCUUCGGAGCUAUAAGUUCUCCAUUGAAGAAAGCUUCAAAGACAAGCUCAGAAGAUCAGUCCGCAGGCUAAACGAAGAAUGCUUUGAAGAGCUUUUGAAGGAUUCGGUUAGGAAGUUGAUGAGAAAUACGAAAUCCUUUGUGAAACGCUGCCAUUAUGAGGUUCCUCUGGCAAAUAAAAGCAGACAGAAGAUGAAUUCAUGGCCUGGUUCCUGUUUCAGCCCUCCAGAAAAACCUUCUGCUUCACAAAAUGUUCUGAGCCUUUAUUAUUUCUGAAGAAAUUAUCCUCUGAGUAUUCCAGCAAAUUUGUAAUCGUUUUCAGGUGAAGAAAUUAAGGAUUCACAAGAUUGUUGGAGCUUCA